rnacentral:lncRNA from 1 species
CUGAACUACUUUAAAAUUUGGAUCAAUAUUGGGUUGCGGAAGGGAUUGGGGAAGGUUAUUGGGGAAAACGGACCAUUCGGGCCCCACGUUGGGCGCCAUUUAUUAUGUAACGGACACGGGAAGUGUCGUCUCGUCAGCACUCUCUGUCUACUAAAAGUUUGCCGGCUAGGCUCAGGGAAAAUGGUGCUGCGAAAACGAACUCCG